GUAACUUUUAACAGAGUUACAGUGAUGAAAACAGCCCAAUCCUCCAUAACUUGUCUUAUUAUCGAUGCUACCCCACUCUCUCUGCACUUCCACUUUCUCUGUUUACACCAAUUCUCAAUAUCUGAAAAGAAAUUCCAAUUUCAUUUCUCAGAACUAAAAUGCUAAUUACCUGAAAGACUUCAUAUAUUCUCUCCCAAUUACACACGCUGCCACUUCUUCUUUUCUCCACCGGUUUUCGCAUCAUUUCAGCUCUAUAUGCACAAGGGUAUAUUAUAUUAUGUAUAUUUCUCUGUCUUGGUUGAAAAAUGUGGAGGUUGUGGAUAUCUAUGUGAAGAAAGUGCAGUGCUGACUGAUUUCAGCUGAAUUAUGUUUUCAUACUUUAAGAAAUUGAAGGUCGAUUCUUGGAUCUGCGACUUACGACGUCAUUUUCGGUUGCCUUUGAGGAGAAACUAGGGUUUUUUGAAUUUGAACGACUUCGAAUGUUUCUGAAUAAUUGAGGGUUAUAAUUAUUAUCAUUUUUUUGGUUAGUCUUUUUUUUCCCGUCAUUUAUUGGCAUGAAUCGGAGUUUUAGGGCAUCGGAGAGGGAGAAAAUGGGUAGUCUGAGAACAUCAAUGAUGAAGGAUACCAAGGAUGAGGACCUAGCAUUGUUUCGCGAGAUGCGAAAACGCGAUAAGGAACUGAAUAAUCUUCUUCUCCUUCAGAACUCUGACGAGCUUGAUUCUCCACUUGGUAUUAUAUUAAAAGUUUGAAUUUUUAAUGUCUUUUUGUUUAUAAUAUUU
rnacentral:lncRNA from 1 species